GGGGUUGUGGCUCAGUGGUAGAGCGCUUGCCUAGCUAGCAUGUUCGAGUCACUGGGUUUGAUUCUCAACACCA
rnacentral:tRNA from 1 species